GGGGUGAGACAGGAUCUUGGGCUGUGUCCCCAGCGCACUGUGCUCCCGGGCCUGCGCCUUUGGAUUCGCGCUCCGGGCCGUGCAGCCCCCU
rnacentral:pre_miRNA from 1 species